UACGUAGGGUGCAAGCGUUAAUCGGAAUUACUGGGCGUAAAGCGUGCGCAGGCGGUUUUGUAAGUCUGUUGUGAAAUCCCCGGGCUCAACCUGGGAAUGGCAAUGGAGACUGCAAGGCUAGAGUUUGGCAGAGGGGGGGUAGAAUUCCACGUGUAGCAGUGAAAUGCGUAGAGAUGUGGAGGAACACCGAUGGCGAAGGCAGCCCCCUGGGUCAAGAUUGACGCUCAUGCACGAAAGCGUGGGGAGCAAACAGG
rnacentral:rRNA from 1 species